UACGAAGGGGGCUAGCGUUGCUCGGAAUCACUGGGCGUAAAGGGCGCGUAGGCGGCCUCUUAAGUCGAACGUGAAAUCCCCGGGCUCAACCCGGGAACUGCGUCCGAUACUGGGAGGCUUGAAUCCGGGAGAGGGAUGUGGAAUUCCAGGUGUAGCGGUGAAAUGCGUAGAUAUCUGGAGGAACACCGGUGGCGAAGGCGGCAUCCUGGACCGGUAUUGACGCUGAGGCGCGAAAGCUAGGGGAGCAAACGGG
rnacentral:rRNA from 1 species